AUUGAACGCUGGCGGCAGGCCUAACACAUGCAAGUCGAGCGGAUGAAGGGAGCUUGCUCCUGGAUUCAGCGGCGGACGGGUGAGUAAUGCCUAGGAAUCUGCCUGGUAGUGGGGGAUAACGUCCGGAAACGGGCGCUAAUACCGCAUACGUCCUGAGGGAGAAAGUGGGGGUCUUCGGAACUCACGCCAUCAAAUGAGCCUAGGUCGGAUUAGCUAGUUGGUGGGGUAAAGGCCUACCAAGGCGACGAUCCGUAACUGGUCUGAGAGGAUGAUCAGUCACACUGGAACUGAGACACGGUCCAGACUCCUACGGGAGGCAGCAGUGGGGAAUAUUGGACAAUGGGCGAAAGCCUGAUCCAGCCAUGCCGCGUGUGUGAAGAAGGUCUUCGGAUUGUAAAGCACUUUAAGUUGGGAGGAAGGGCAGUAAGUUAAUACCUUGCUGUUUUGACGUUACCAACAGAAUAAGCACCGGCUAACUUCGUG
rnacentral:rRNA from 1 species